CGGGGCGGGCGGGUGCUGCUCGCUCCCCGCCUCCGCCUUCGGGGAGGGAGAGCGCGGUGCCGGGGCGAGCAGCGGGUGAUGGGGAAGAGGCGAGCGCGGCACUGAGGUCCUGUGGGGCCGGAUGAGCCGAGGCUUGGCGCCGCGGCGGUGGCGGGGCUGGAGGAGAGGGCGAAGGAGGCUGUAGGGGCGGCCCCCGCUCCGGCUGCCCUGAGGGGAAGGAGCCCCCGACCAUGGAGAUCGAGAACAUCGUGGCCAACACGGUGCUGCUGAAAGCCCGGGAGGGCAAACGGAGUGGGCGUAGUAAAAAAUGGAAAGAGAUGCUGAAGUUGCCACCUGUUAGUCACUGUGAAGGUAUUAGAUCCUCAAUUGAAAGAGACUAUAGCCAGCUUUGUGACAAACAGCCUAUAGGAAGACUUCUCUUCAGACAGUUCUGUGAUUCCAGACCGGAUUUGAAAAGAUGCAUCGAAUUUCUGGAUGCAGUGGCAGAAUAUGAGGUAUCUUCAGAUGAAAAGCGUAUAGACUGUGGCCUCAAAGUUUUAGAGACGUACUUCACUAAUGGGUCUGCAGCACACUUGCCAGAAAUACCUCAGGAAACAGUAAAUGAAUGUAAAGCAAGACUGGAAAAGAACCCUUCUAAGGAUCUUUUUAUGGACUGUACUAGAAUUGUCCAUGAAUACCUAAGCAAAAGACCUUUUGAAGCUUACCAAGAAAGUGUGUAUUUUUCCCGUUUCUUACAGUGGAAAUGGCUGGAAAAGCAACCAGUAACCAAACACACAUUUAGGCAUUACCGAGUCCUAGGCAAAGGUGGAUUUGGAGAGGUGUGUGCCUGUCAAGUACGGGCAACAGGAAAAAUGUAUGCUUGUAAAAAGCUAGAAAAAAAGAGAAUAAAGAAGAGGAAAGGAGAAUCAAUGGCUCUAAAUGAAAAAAGAAUUCUAGAAAAAGUGAAUAGUAGGUUUGUAGUUAGUUUAUCCUAUACGUAUGAAACAAAAGAUGCCCUGUGUUUAGUAUUAACCAUAAUGAAUGGAGGGGAUCUGAAGUUUCACAUAUAUAACAUGGGAAAUCCUGGCUUUGAUGAAGAAAGGGCUAUUUUCUAUGCUGCAGAACUGUGCUGUGGCCUGGAGGAUUUGCAGAGGGAGAGAAUUGUUUACAGAGACUUGAAGCCUGAGAAUAUACUUCUUGAUGACUGUGGGCAUAUCAGAAUUUCAGAUCUUGGAUUAGCUGUGCAGAUUCCAGAAGGAGAAACGGUCAGAGGUCGAGUUGGGACCGUGGGCUACAUGGCUCCAGAAGUGCUCAAAAAUGAAAAGUAUACAUUCAGUCCGGAUUGGUGGGGUCUUGGCUGCUUGAUUUAUGAAAUGAUUGAAGGACAGUCUCCAUUCAGGAAGCAUAAGGAAAGGGUCAAACGGGAUGAGAUUGACCGGAGAGUAAAGGAAGACCAGGAAACAUAUUCAGACAAGUUCUCAGAGGAGGCAAAAUCCAUCUGCAGGAUGUUACUUGCUAAAAAUCCAGGGGAACGACUGGGUUGCACUGAAGAUGGAGCUGCUGUUGUAAAGCAACAUCCUAUUUUCAGGAACAUUAACUUCAAGAGGCUGGAAGCAAACAUGUUAGAACCUCCAUUCUUGCCAGAUGUAAGUAGCCACGUGCUGUAUAUUGUAAAGAUGUCCUGGACAUAGAGCAGUUCUCAACAGUAAAAGGAGUGAACCUGGAUACUACAGAUGAUGACUUCUAUUCCAAGUUUGUUACGGGUUGUGUCUCCAUCCCUUGGCAAAAUGAGAUGAUUGAAACGGGAUGCUUUGAAGAUAUCAAUGCGUAUGAAACCGAUGGUACUGUGUCACCAGACAGAGAGAGGUCUCCUAAACCAAAGAGAGGCUUCUUUCACAGACUCUUUAGUGGAGAGGUCUGUUUUAAAUCUGAUUGCAGUGAUGAUGAGCAGGAGUCCUCCAGACUUUAAAUCAUUUUACUCUCAUCAGAAAGGAUGAGCAAACGUUAAAUGUUUUAUAUCUCUGUAGCAAAUUGUAUUAUAUAUAUUUUUUAUCUGAGUUCAAGGAUUUUUGUACAUUUGUACUUCAUUUGUUUUAAGAUGUAUAUUUUCACUAAAGCUUAAUUGUACAAAAA